AGAGUUUGAUCCUGGCUCAGAACGAACGCUGAUGGCGUGCUUCAUACAUGCAAGUCGAGCGCCCCGCAAGGGGAGCGGCGAACGGGUGAGUAACGCGUGAACAAUCUGCCUUGAAGUGGGGGAUAACCAUUCCAACGGAUGGCUAAUACCGCAUAGGAUUUGGGACCGGCAUCGGUUCCCCAUGAAAGCAUUUAUGCGCUUCAAGAUGAGUUCGCGUCCCAUUAGCUAGUUGGCGGGGUAACGGCCCACCAAGGCAACGAUGGGUAGCCGGCCUGAGAGGGUGUCCGGCCACAUUGGGACUGAGAUACGGCCCAGACUCCUACGGGAGGCAGCAGUAGGGAAUUUUGCGCAAUGGGGGAAACCCUGACGCAGCAACGCCAUGUGUGGGAUGACGCAUUUCGGUGUGUAAACCACUGUCGGCAGGGAAUAAAGCCCACAUUUAUGUGGGGGUGAAUGUACCUGCAGAGGAAGCCCCGGCUAACUUCGUGCCAGCAGCCGCGGUAAUACGAGGGGGGCAAGUGUUGUUCGGAAUCACUGGGCGUAAAGGGAGCGUAGGCGGAUGUUUAAGUUGGAUGUUUAAAACCGGGGCCUAACCUCGGAGCGGCGUCCAAAACUGGGCAUCUUGAAUAGGUCAGAGGCUGGUGGAAUUGGAGGUGUAGCGGUGGAAUGCGUAGAGAUCUCCAAGAACACCUAUUGCGAAGGCAGCCUGCUGGGACCAUAUUGACGCUGAGGCUCGAAAGCACGGGGAGCAAACAGGAUUAGAUACCCUGGUAGUCCAUGCCGUAAACGAUGAACACUAGGUUUUGGGCUCGUCAACGGUCCAGAGCCGCAGCUAACGCGUUAAGCGUUCCGCCUGGGGAAUACGGUCGCAAGACUGAAACUCAAAGGAAUUGACGGGGGCCCGCACAAGCGGUGUAGCAUGUGGUUUAAUUCGACGCAACGCGCAGAACCUUACCAGGACUUGACAUGGAAGUGACCGGACGAGAGAUCGUCCUUCUCCCGCAAGGGAGCACUUCACACAGGUGCUGCAUGGCUGUCGUCAGCUCGUGUCGUGAGAUGUUGGGUUAAGUCCCGCAACGAGCGCAACCCUCGUUUCUAGUUGCCAUCAUUCAGUUGGGCACUCUAGAGAGACUGCCGCGAAUAACGCGGAGGAAGGUGGGGACGACGUCAAGUCAUCAUGGCCCUUACGUCCUGGGCUACACACGUGCUACAAUGGGCGUUACAGAGGGUCGCAAUAGUGCAAACUGGAGCCAAUCCCCAAAAACGUCCUCAGUUCAGAUCGAGGUCUGCAACCCGACCUCGUGAAGGUGGAAUCGCUAGUAAUCGCGGAUCAGAACGCCGCGGUGAAUACGUUCCCGGGCCUUGUACACACCGCCCGUCAAACCACGAAAGGAGAGAGCGCUCUAAGCCGCCUUGGUAACCCGCAAGGGAACUAAGCGUCUAAAGCGAGAUUUCUGAUUGGGGCUAAGUCGUAACAAGGUAGCCGUAUCGGAAGGUGCGGCUG
rnacentral:rRNA from 1 species